GAGUUAGUGACAAGGAGGGCUCGCUCUUGGGGCUAGUGGUGGGGAGGCAGUGGCCAGUUCAGGGCUCAGAUGAGAGAGGUGGCAGAAUUAGAGGCAGCCACUAGGAUGGGGGUGCGAGGAGAAGCGGGGCUAAGUAUAAAGGAGACUAGAUUUUGGGACAGUGGACGUGUGGAAGGCAGCUUCCAAAGCGCCUUUAACAAUCCACAAAGAACCAGCAGCUUUCAAGACCAGGCUAUCCCUGCUGUCUGCUGGCACUUGACGUCCAGGAGGGCACAAGUUUCACAGGCCUACAUGGGGGCAGUGUCCUAACUUGAGUGGCAGAGCAGCAGUUGAUGGAGACGGGUGGACUGGGGGCCCUUGAAGGCCCCGGAAAUCAUAGAGGACAGGCAGUGGGGCAGGACUAGGUGCGUAGUGGAGGUCGCCUUUGAUCUUGACAAAACCAGCAGACCCCUUUUUUUCCAGAUAAGGGGUUGUGAACCCACCUGGGGAUGAGGCCUGGUCUUAUGGAAGGUGGACUUAGCUUCGCUGGGCGGACAGCUCUGGCCCAGGGUGAUAGCAGUGCCCUCUCUGGACUUUGCCUAGGUUCCGUGCUUCCUCUUCUGUGGUCUCACUCUUCCCUACUCUUGCCCCUCACUCUGAGGUUAAGGGGUCACUUAAAACCUUGCCCCUGGGUCGUCCGGUAAGCCUGUGGAGGAUGUAGAGUCGGUGCUGGAGUCUUGGGCACGGCAUUUUGGUAAAGGUGGAGGACACCCUGACUGGGCGGGGAGGGAUGGUGUUGAUUCACAGAGGGCGGGACGUGAGUGUGGACCCUGGGGUGGGCUCACAGCCAUGUUUCCGGUCACCCAAAUGCUUCAUGGACGUGGUUUAUCACUAUAGUGUUCACCAUGGCAAGCAGAUGGCACCAGGAGAUAUGGAGCCCCUGCCAGUGUGAGUCGUAGCAGUGCAGGAGGGCUCACCCUGGAGGAGACAGCGGCCUCGGUUGACGCCUACACAGUGAAUUCCAGAGGCUUAGGAAGCGCGUCCCUGCCCUGGGUCCAGGCCUUUCUCAGGAAGCCCUGUGCUCAGGAGGCCAUCGUUGAAGUCAGCUUGUAGGGGGUGGGCAGGUGCUUCCAGCCGGAGGGGCCGUCGGCUGUGAAUGUUCCAGAUGAAUGUCUUGUUCUGGGAGCAUCAUUCUUUGCGGAUGCAUGAAUGGCAGCAGGCACCCUUUUUCAUGGGGGUAGAGGCGUUCGACUGCUGCAUCUUCUAAACAAGCCUCCAUCCAGCCUUUGUAGUUCUGUGCUGCGAACUUGGCCUCGAGAAGAUUGCGUAAGGUGUAGGACACUUUAACGUCUGCGCAGCGUGCUGCACUGUAGAUCGGGACCCCAGUGACCUCGCCCACCUUCCCUGCUUCUGCAGCCUGCCUGCCUCUGCAUUGGUCAGAGGGAUUCUUAACUGAAAACUUGUGGGUGUUGGGGAAAGCUGUUGGGUUGUAAAUGACUGGUGUGGAGGAAUCUUCCUUAGAUGGAGCUGGUUGUAAAAUGGGUAGGGUUUGUGGUUUAACAGUGGGAAGGCGCAAGUUAGCCACAAAUUCUGCCGACUUGGUAGAUGCCGUAUCUAAUUUGGGCUUUGGGACGUCUUCUGGACUAAAAGGGAUCCGUGGGCCCGAAGUGGUCCCUGGGAAUGGUCUCUCCCAGGGUGUGGAUUUGAUACUGGGUGGUUGAGUGGCAACAGUGGUUCUGGCCCCUUUUGUUCAUUAGCUUUUAUGACUUAGGGCCUGGCUGUGUAUACCAGGCUGGCCUGGGUUCACAGCCCUGCUCAGAUGACAGUGUCCUGAAACAAUGGCCUUCCAAGGUGAAACCUGAGUUAUGGAUCAAGCUUGGGAAUAAUACUUUUGGCACCAGAUAUGGGACUUGUGGGAGAAAGCAGGGCUCAGCUUGGCAUUGGUGGGUUGAAGGAGUCGGGGUGCGGGUGAGGAUUGUGCCUGGAACCGUGGGUUGAUGGGAAUAACAGUUUGGGAACUAAAUAGUUCACAUGAAAAUCUAAAGGCUGAUGGUAAAUCCCUGCAGGUGGCACUACUUUGAGAUGCAGUUGCUUGGAAAAUACCAAAAUCCUACAAGGGGAAGAGCAAAAUUGUUUUGCUUCACUGUUGAAUGGGGAAGGGUGACAUUGAAAAGCUUUUCUUAGUUGCUCAAUAGAUGGUUGUCACUACCCUGACCUAGGCAGGCCACAGGGGUGGAGCCUGGUGGGGGGAAGCUGAUUGCCAAGAAGUGAAGCUGGGGAGGGGCUUGUAAACGCCUCCCGUUGUGGGCUCUGAAACCAUAGUAUGGGGAGGUUGGCAGACUCUUCUGGGUCUCUAUUGAAAUUCUGUCAUACUGUGUGAUUAAGAAUUCCAAUGCUGCUAUCUAAAGGAAUUUCAUAUGGGAGUCAUGCCUUAUACAACACAUACAGGAAUUUAAUGUGUGAGCCAUGCCUUCAAAACACAUCUUGAAUUUCUGGAAUUGGCCAGAAGACAACAGGGUUUGCUUAUUUAACCUUUCAAAUCAGUCAUUGUGACAAGGGGACAGGGUCUUGCGCUUGCUAUGAGAUCAUUGUGAUGCUUGUAGAAACCUCAUGAGUGCUUUGCCACUGAAUACAUCCAUUGUGGGUUUGGCUUGAAUGGUGCUUAAAAACCAUCCCUGAGCAGAGGGGAAGCUGUUAAACUGUCAGUCAAAGCAGUUUGGGAAAUAAAAGAGACUGGGCCCUGGGUCAUCUUACUAGAUAACACUUUGUAAAAAUUGGUUCUGAAAACCCUGUUUAUUUGCAUAUUUGUGAAAACCCUGUAUAUGUGGUUGUUUUGUGAGUGUGCUUAAAAGUGGUGUGACCAGGGCAAGAUCGCUCAUUGGAACAGCUGUGUGGAAUGGGGAAAUGUGAAGAAAGCUGUAACUGCAGGUUGGUCGCACACGCUUCUCUGUACUAAAGUGUUCAGUGUACAAACCCACUAACCAUUUUCCUCCCCUUUACAGCAAAAUAAAGGUUUGAGAUUGAA
ensembl:lincRNA Neat1 nuclear paraspeckle assembly transcript 1 (non-protein coding)